rnacentral:rRNA from 1 species
AGUUCUGGGGGUGGUAGUUUGUAGCUACUGCGUACCGAGUAAGUUGUAGGCCUAUCAGCUGGUAGUUAGGGUAAUGGCCUAACUAGGCGGAGACGGGAGACGGGGGAUCAGGGUUUGAUUCCGGAGAGGGAGCCUGAGAGAUGGCUACUACGUCCAAGGAUGGCAGCAGGCGCGAAACUUGCCUAAUCCUUAUUGGGGAGGCGGUUAUGAGAAGUAAGAUGUUUAGCAAGUAUAAAUUUGUUGUGAUUUACUGGAGGGCAAGUCGGGUGCCAGCAGCCGCGGUAAUACCUGCUCCAGUAGUGUCUAUGGUGAAUGCUGCAGUUAAAAUGUCCGUAGUUGUUUGUAUGUCUUUUGAGUGAUGUUUAUGGUUUUUAGUGGAUGUAGUUUUAUUGUAGCAGAGGACGAGGGGCACUGGAUAGUUGGGCGAGGGGUGAAAUACGAAGACCCUGACUGGACGAAGAGAAGCGAAGGCUGUGCUCUUGGACUUAUGU